CCUACGGGGGGCAGCAGUAGGGACUAUUGCUCAAUGGGGGAAACCCUGAAGCAGCAACGCCGCGUGGAGGAUGGAGGUUUUCGGCUUGUAAACUCCUUUUGUUAGAGAAGAUAAUGACGGUAUCUCACGAAUAAGCACCGGCUAACUACGUGCCAGCAGCCGCGGUAAUACGUAGGGUGCAAGCGUUACUCGGAUUUACUGGGAGUAAAGAGCGCGCAGGCGGGAUAGCAAGUCAGAUGUGAAAGCCCAUGGCUUAACCAUAGAACUGCAUUUGAAACUGUAAUUCUAGAGUAUGGGAGAGGCAGGUGGAAUUCUUGGUGUAGGGGUAAAAUCCGUAGAGAGUAAGAGGAAGAC
rnacentral:rRNA from 1 species